rnacentral:rRNA from 1 species
UACGUAGGCGGAGAAUUAAGUCAGUAGUGAAAUCCUGCAGCUUAACUGUAGAACUGUUAUUGAUACUGGUUUUCUUGAAUAUAGUUGAGGUAGGCGGAAUGUGUAAUGUAGCGGUGAAAUGCUUAGAUAUUACACAGAACACCGAUUGCGAAGGCGGCUUACUAAGCUAUGAUUGACGCUGAGGUACGAAAGCGUGGGGAGCGAACAGGAUUAGAUACCCUGGUAGUCC